UGGUCACCCAAUUUGUUGCCUUGACUAA
rnacentral:piRNA from 1 species